rnacentral:lncRNA from 1 species
GUGUAUGUAAUACUUUUAUUUGUUUGUAAUAAUUAUUGUCAAAUUAUGGACUAACUAGACUCAAAAAAUUUGUCUCGUAAAUUCUGAUCAAACCGUACAAUUAAACUUUAUUUUUAUCUAUAUUUAAUACUUCUAGCAUGCGUCUAAAGAUUCGAUGUGACGGAGAAUCUUGAAAAAAUAUUGGGUUUUGAGGUAGAAGUAAGCGGGGGCUCUUCGGGUCCGGCUGUUCGUACAAUUAAACUUUAUUUUUAUCUAUAUUUAAUACUUCUAGCAUGCGUCUAAAGAUUCGAUGUGACGGAGAAUCUUGAAAAAAUAUUGGGUUUUGAGGUAGAAGUAAGCGGGGGCUCUUCGGGUCCGGCUGUUCGGAUAGAGUCCGUCUGUCCGGCAGACUCCCGCCAAAUUCUUUUAGAUGUUGACCAAUAGAUUUUCCCGCCUAGCACCUACAGGCCAAGAGUAGCACGCGGCAGAUUUUGACUCACACUUAUCUCAUCCCACGUCAUCUGAACUGACGCAUGCAAAUAGUUUUAAACAGAUUUAAAAAAGACAUAACUUUUAUCCUAGUCAUUCAAAUUAAAUUCCGAUUACACCAACGGUUUUGUUACAAUAAAUCUUUCAAAAUAAGAUCCCACAUGAAUAUAUUUAGAUAAUAUUUUAUUAACGAACAUUUAUCUUAUGAAGAUAGAAUAUUAUUGAGCAGAGAUGAUGUUCUAGGUUUAUAGAAACAAUGUUCCGUCUUCAAUAAAAAAAUGUUCUCAGUUUAGAAUAAUAAUAUUCUAGUUUAGAUUGAUGAUAAUAUAAUAUAAAAAUAAAUAUAGACAGAUAACAUAAAUAAAUAACAAUAAAAUUAGAGUAAAGCAUAAGAGAAAACAUAAUAAAGAAAAAUAAAAACGAAUAUAACACGUAUACUUUUUAAACGUCCUAAAAUAGACUAUAGAAUAUCACAUAUACUAAGUGAACAACAGUAAAUACACCAUAAAAAAUCACUAAAUAUAUUAUAGAACAUCAUACAUUGUGCAAACAUAGAAAAUACAAUAGAACAUAUAUACUACACGAACAACAUUAAAUAAACCAUAGAUACAACUAAAUACAUAAUAGAACAUCAUUUAAUGUGUUAUAGAACAUCACAUAUAUAUUAUGUGAACACCAAUAAAAUACAUCAUAUAACAACAUAUGUGUAGUAAGUGAACAUCACUAAGUAUAUCAUAGAACAUUACUAAAUACAAUAUAGAACAUCACAUAUAUUAUGUGAACAUUAUUAAAUACAUCAUAGAAAAUAAAAUGUAUAUUAAGUGAACAUCACUAGAUAUAUCAUAGAACAUUACUAAAAAACAAUAUAGAACAUCACAUAUAUACUACGUGAACAUCAUUAAAUACAUACCAAAGUAUUAUAUGUUUACUAUGUGAAUGUGAGCAUAGAAAAACACCUUAGAACAUCUCGUUUAUGCUAUGAGAACAUGACAUAUAUAUUAUGUAAAUAUUACAAAAUACAAUUAUAUUAUAUGUAUACCACGUGAAUAUAAACAAAAUCACAUGUAUAACAUGUGAACAUAAAAAAAACAUAAAAAUCACAUGUCAACUACAUAAAACACCAAAAAAAUAAUAUCAUAAAAAUAAUAAAUAAAAGACAUAAAUGAAAGAAAAUAUAAUUAUUAGUAAAGAAACAAAGAGCAUUACAUGCACAACAUGCGAGCAUAAAAAAUAAUAAGAAAAUAAAAAAAAAUAAAAGAAACAUAAAAUAUAAAAAGUUAAAAGAGUAAUAAAAAAACAUAAAACAAAAAAAUAGUGAAGCAUGAAAAUAUAAAAUAAAUGAAAAGAAAAAACAAUAGAAAACAUUAAGUAAACAGAGAAAAGAAAGAAAAAAGAAUAAACAUAAAGCAAAAUUAAAUGAAGUAAACAAAAAAAAAGAAAAACGAAAACAUAAAAAUAAAUUGAAGCAAGGAAAGAAAAAUAAUAAGAAAAGAAAAGGAAAGAAAAUAAAAAGAAAAAGAAAAAAAAAGAUAAACAAUUUAAAAAAAUGGAAAGAAUAAUGAAAAACAUAAAAGAAAAAAAAUUAAACACAAAAAGAAAAGAAAAACAAAAAAAUUAAAUGAAGCACAAAAAGAAAAGAAAAACAAAAAAAAAUUGUCUCGUAAAUUCUGAUCAAACCGUACAAUUAAACUUUAUUUUUAUCUAUAUUUAAUACUUCUAGCAUGCGUCUAAAGAUUCGAUGUGACGGAGAAUCUUGAAAAAAUAUUGGGUUUUGAGGUAGAAGUAAGCGGGGGGCUCUUCGGGUCCGGCUGUUCGGAUAGAGUCCGUCUGUCCGGUAGACUCCCGCCAAAUUCUUUUAGAUGUUGACCAAUAGAUUUUCCCGCCUAGCACCUACAGGCCAAGAGUAGCACGCGGCAGAUUUUGACUCACACUCAUCUCAUCCCACGUCAUCUGAACUGACGCAUGCAAAUAGUUUUAAACAGAUUUAAAAAAGACAUAACUUUUAUACUAGUCAUUCAAAUUAAAUUCCGAUUACACCAACGGUUUUGUUACAAUAAAUCUUUCAAAAUAAGAUCCCACAUGAAUAUAUUUAGAUAAUAUUUUAUUAACGAACAUUUAUCUUAUGAAGAUAGAAUAUUAUUGAGCAUAGAUGAUGUUCUAGGUUUAUAGAAACAAUGUUCCGUCUUCAAUAAAAAAAUGUUCUCAGUUUAGAAUAAUAAUAUUCUAGUUUAGAUUGAUGAUAAUAUAGUAUAAAAAUAAAUAUAGACAGAUAACAUAAAUAAAUAACAAUAAAAUUAGAGUAAAGCAUAAGAGAAAACAUAAUAAAGAAAAAUAAAAACGAAUAUAGUAUACUUUUUAAACGUCCUAAAAUAGACUAUAGAAUAUCACAUAUACUAAGUGAACAACAGUAAAUACACCAUAAAAAAUCACUAAAUAUAUUAUAGAACAUCAUACAUUGUGCAAACAUAGAAAAUACAAUAGAACAUAUAUACUACACGAACAACAUUAAAUAAACCAUAGAUACAACUAAAUACAUAAUAGAACAUCAUUUAAUGUGUUAUAGAACAUCACAUAUAUAUUAUGUGAACACCAAUAAAAUACAUCAUAUAACAACAUAUGUGUAGUAAGUGAACAUCACUAAGUAUAUCAUAGAACAUUACUAAAUACAAUAUAGAACAUCACAUAUAUUAUGUGAACAUUAUUAAAUACAUCAUAGAAAAUAAAAUGUAUAUUAAGUGAACAUCACUAGAUAUAUCAUAGAACAUUACUAAAAAACAAUAUAGAACAUCACAUAUAUACUACGUGAACAUCAUUAAAUACAUACCAAAGUAUUAUAUGUUUACUAUGUGAAUAUGAGCAUAGAAAAACACCUUAGAACAUCUCGUUUAUGCUAUGAGAACAUGACAUAUAUAUUAUGUAAAUAUUACAAAAUACAAUUAUAUUAUAUGUAUACCACGUGAAUAUAAACAAAAUCACAUGUAUAACAUGUGAACAUAAAAAAAACAUAAAAAUCACAUGUCAACUACAUAAAACACCAAAAAAAUAAUAUCAUAAAAAUAAUAAAUAAAAGACAUAAAUGAAAGAAAAUAUAAUUAUUAGUAAAGAAACAAAGAGCAUUACAUGCACAACAUGCGAGCAUAAAAAAUAAUAAGAAAAUAAAAAAAAUAAAAGAAACAUAAAAUAUAAAAAGUUAAAAGAGUAAUAAAAAACAUAAAACAAAAAAAUAGUGAAGCAUGAAAAUAUAAAAUAAAUGAAAAGAAAAAAACUAUAGAAAACAUUAAGUAAACAG